rnacentral:lncRNA from 1 species
UUCAAUGCCGAGAUGUUUAUGAUCUUGUUUAUACAGUGGAUGAUAUGAUCACUCGCCAAUUCCAGAUGAUUGGUUUUAUACACUGGGCCUUAUAUUCUAUAGGGUUCAGUACUAAAGAGAUCAUAACUUUCCAACAAUUGGUGAAGAAUUUGUGCACCUAUCUACAUGGAGUUAUCUCACAGACGGGCAUUCAGAAAGAUCAAUUAGAAUUCUCGAAGGUGAGACUUCCGUUUCAAACCAUGUGAAGCAUAAGUUGACCUUGGAUAGAAUCCUUUUGUGAAAGCUGUGAUAGAUGAGAGGGACAUAAAAGACAUAUUUGCACUCGGUACACGUUUCAUUAUAGAGCCAUUACAAACAUUCUUUUAUACAUGGAACCCCGAAGCCCUACAAGAGAUUCAAUUCUUGAAAGUCAGAUUCGAUCGCCAGCACCUUUCUGACACUCCAGAUACAGAACCAUUUAGCCUAUUCGAUACAGAUACAAGUUUUUUGUCCAGUCUUCAGGCUAAUCUUUCUCAUCUGGCUAUCACGAGAACACGUGGUGACCUAGAAGAAUUCCGAAAAAUUGAAGAACGCCAAGUUCGAGAGGGCCGUCUAGAAGCCUUGGGGAACCGAUGGAAUGCAUACUCUCAUACUGUUCGGGAUUGUGCUGUCUUAGUUGGAGAAAAACGUUUGAUUCGGCUCGCAUAUAAAUUAUUAUUCGCUGACAGCACUACUUGUCGGAUUGCAAAA